rnacentral:rRNA from 1 species
AAGUCGUAACAAGGUUUCCGUAGGUGAACCUGCGGAAGGAUCAUUACCGUGGGGCUUCGGCCCCAUUGAGAUAGCACCCUUUGUUUAUGAGUACCCUUGUUUCCUCGGUGGGCUUGCCCGCCAUGAGGACAUUAAAAACCCUUUGUAGUAGCAGUAACUUCAGUUAAUAAUAAAUAUUAAAACUUUCAACAACGGAUCUCUUGGUUCUGGCAUCGAUGAAGAACGCAGCGAAAUGCGAUAAGUAGUGUGAAUUGCAGAAUUCAGUGAAUCAUCGAAUCUUUGAACGCACAUUGCGCCCUUCGGUAUUCCGUUGGGCAUGCCUGUUCGAGCGUCAUUUAAACCUUCAAGCUAUGCUUGGUGUUGGGUGUUUGUUCCGCCUCAGCGUGUGGACUCGCCUUAAAUUCAUUGGCAGCCGGUAUGUUGGCUUCGUGCGCAGCACAUUGCAAGCGAUUUCAGCAGACCCCCUUCCACAAGCCUUUUUUUACUUUGACCUCGGAUCAGGUAGGGAUACCCGCUGAACUUAAGCAUAUCAAUAAGCGGAGGAAAAGAAACCAACAGGGAUUGCCCCAGUAACGGCGAGUGAAGCGGCAAUAGCUCAAAUUUGAAAUCUGGCCCUUUCAGGGUCCGAGUUGUAAUUUGCAGAGGGCGCUUUGGUGUCGGCAGCAGCCUAAGUUCCUUGGAACAGGUCAUCAUAGAGGGUGAGAAUCCCGUAUGUGGCUGCUUGUCUUCACCGUGUAAAGCCCCUUCGAUGAGUCGAGUUGUUUGGGAAUGCAGCUCUAAAUGGGAGGUAAAUUUCUUCUAAAGCUAAAUAUUGGCCAGAGACCGAUAGCGCACAAGUAGAGUGAUCGAAAGAUGAAAAGCACUUUGGAAAGAGAGUCAAAAAGCACGUGAAAUUGUUGAAAGGGAAGCGCUUGCAGCCAGACGUGCCCGUAGUUGCUCAUCUGGGGUUUUCCCCAGUGCACUCUUCUAUGGGCAGGCCAGCAUCAGUUCGGGCGGUUGGAGAAAGACCUGUGUCACGUAGCUCUCUUCGGGGAGUGUUAUAGGGCAGGUGGAAUGCAACCAGCCUGAACUGAGGUCCGCGCAUCUGCUAGGAUGCUGGCGUAAUGGCUGUAAGCGGCC